GUCAUCACCUGUCUGUCUUUGAGAAGGACAACAAGGGCAUGGUGCAAGCUGGUUGUGUAUGGAUUCAGGACUCCCUUCUUAACUCCAUUAGUGAUAAUUGCUGAAGACAGGAAACUAGAUGUGCUUUGAAGAAGUGUUCCAAGGUUGGAAGAAAAAAGCAUGAUGCCUUUAAGUACCAUCUGGACCACCAACUCAAAUUUAACAUCACAAAAAUUCAGUCUUCUGUUUCAGGAGACAUUCCUGAAACAUGAAUUUCAGUCUGGCAUGCUGAACACUCUGUUCCUGCAGCUGCUGCAACUGCUGACCAGAGCCUCUGUAGUAAGAGAGGACUUUAAGACAGCAACAGCAAGGUAAGCCUGAGAGGGUAUGGGAGAAAACAGUGAUGCUAAAUGGCAUUGGUUAAAACCUACAGCAUAGAUUUAAGAAGUGCUAAGAUGUAGCAAUCCUAUAUACAAAAACAUCA